rnacentral:lncRNA from 12 species
UAAAGACCCUUUGGGGGUCGCCCGUCCGCCUCGGGUCGGGGCGGUCGGGCCCGUGGGGAGGGUCAGUCCCCUCCUCCAGACUCCGCCGCCUCGGUCCCCGCCACCCCGUGGGGUGUGCGGGGGGGGUCGCCACGCCACGUGCCCGGUCCACGCGGCCGCCGGGAGGGGGCUCGCCCCCUGCCCGGUGGCAGUCGUGCCGCGUCCGUGUGCGCGUGCGCCCGCCCCCCCCCCAGCGUCCCCGGUGUGGCGUGGGGCGGGGCAGGUGGGAACCCCCUGGGCGCCUGUGGGGUUGUCCUCGCUCGCCCCCCGCGCCCGCGCGUGCGCGGCGGGGGCGGCGGCCGGACGCCCCGUCGUUCGUCCGACCCUUCCGACCUUCUCGGAGUCUGAUCUCGUGGUCUCUGCUGGCCGGCCAGAGGCGCCCUCCGGGGAUGUGCCGUGCCAGGGAGGGGGGCUCUCCCCUCCGCUCGAAACUCGUACGACUCUUAGCGGUGGAUCACUCGGCUCGUGCGUCGAUGAAGAACGCAGCUAGCUGCGAGAAUUAAUGUGAAUUGCAGGACACAUUGAUCAUCGACACUUCGAACGCACUUGCGGCCCCGGGUUCCUCCCGGGGCUACGCCUGUCUGAGCGUCGCUUGGCGAUCAAUCGCCGCCCCUGGUGGCGGCGCGGCUGGGGGUUCCCUCGCAGGGCCCGGUCUGCCGGGCCCUCCGUCCCCCUAAGAGCAGACGCGGUGGCCGCCUCCGCGUGCCUCCCUCCUUCCCUCCCUCCCUCCCUCCCCCGCUCCCCUCCCGUGCCCUUCCGCCGCGCCCGGUCCCGGCCGCCCGCGCCCCCCGCCCCCGCACCCGUGCGGUGUGGUGCGGUGCGUGGGGGCCGGGGACCGGGCCGGCGGCGGGGCCGUGCGUGGGGCGGGGGUGGGGCGGGCGGUGGGGCGGGGGUGUGGGGGUGACGUGAGAGGCGGUGCCCGCCCGCGAGAAAAGGAGAGAGGCGAGAGCUCGCGCCGAGGAGGGCCGCGGGGGGCGGCCGCGCGGACCCCCCCUCCCAGAGGGGCCCGCGAGGUCGGAGGGCGCGCGCGCGCGCGCGCCCUUGCGCCUCCUUCCCUCCUUCCCUCCUUCCCUCCUGGUGGAUCCGGUCGACCAGCUGUCCCCGCGGUCCCCGCGGUCCCGCGGCGGGCGCCCGCCCGCCCGCCCGGGUCGACCAGCACCCCCGCGGUCCCACGGUCCCGGGUCGACCAGCACCCCGUUGGCGCCGCCUCGCCUCGGCGACUACCCGGGCGGCGGAGGCCGGGCCUCUCGCCCUCUCGCCGUGCGACCAGCCGACCUGGUCUCCCGCCCCGCCCCGCCCGCUUCCGCCAGCCACACGGCGCGCCCGUGUCUCCGCCCCUCCGCGGGUCGACCAGCAAGCCGUUCCCUCGCGCCCGCCUCCAUUCCCCGUGCGGGGGACUUGAGUGGUUUGUGCCACCGCCACCGGUGUUUCAUACCCAGCGAUUCCCCCGGUCUCGCCCUUGAUCCUCCUUUAUGGAUCUAUUCGUGACAGACGCAAAGACAGGCAGACACUUCGGCACGGGGAGAAAGGCGCUCGAGCGCCGAGCCCCCAUGCGUCGCCGCCAGUUUGCCUUUUUCUUUUUUCUCCCUUUUUUUUUUUUCUGGAAGGU